rnacentral:rRNA from 1 species
GAUGAACGCUGGCGGCGUGCCUAAUACAUGCAAGUCGAGCGAACGGACGAGAAGCUUGCUUCUCUGAUGUUAGCGGCGGACGGGUGAGUAACACGUGGAUAACCUACCUAUAAGACUGGGAUAACUUCGGGAAACCGGAGCUAAUACCGGAUAAUAUUUUGAACCGCAUGGUUCAAAAGUGAAAGACGGUCUCGCUGUCACUUAUAGAUGGAUCCGCGCUGCAUUAGCUAGUUGGUAAAGUAACGGCUUACCAAGGCAACGAUGCAUAGCCGACCUGAGAGGGUGAUCGGCCACACUGGAACUGAGACACGGUCCAGACUCCUACGGGAGGCAGCAGUAGGGAAUCUUCCGCAAUGGGCGAAAGCCUGACGGAGCAACGCCGCGUGAGUGAUGAAGGUCUUCGGAUCGUAAAACUCUGUUAUUAGGGAAGAACAUAUGUGUAAGUAACUGUGCACAUCUUGACGGUACCUAAUCAGAAAGCCACGGCUAACUACGUG